rnacentral:rRNA from 1 species
UACGUAGGGGGCAAGCGUUGUCCGGAUUUAUUGGGCGUAAAGAGCGUGUAGGCGGCUAGAUAGGUCCGUUGUGAAAACUCGAGGCUCAACCUCGAGACGUCGAUGGAAACCAUCUGGCUAGAGUCCGGAAGAGGAGAGUGGAAUUCCUGGUGUAGCGGUGAAAUGCGCAGAUAUCAGGAAGAACACCCGUGGCGAAGGCGGCUCUCUGGUACGUGACUGACGCUGAGACGCGAAAGCGUGGGGAGCGAUCCGG